AUGAAGAAAAUGUUGAGGGGGUCAUUGUUCAAAACAAGUCUGAAUAUUAUUUUUUUGUUCUGCUGUACUAAACAUUCAAUGCUUCCUUCUCUGUUUGAUUACCUUAACUAUAUUAAAAGUAGUCAUUUUUUGUUUAAUAAUUACUUCUCCAAAACAGAGGCACGAGCAAAAUCUGCUUACUUUUCUUUCAAAAUAUUUAAUAAGAAAAUUCAAUUUCUUUAUUUUUAUUCACUCUUUGUAUUUUUUAUUUAUCUAAAAGACGAGACAAAAAAAACUUUUUUAAAACAAAAAAAUAGGAGUGCUCGCUGA
rnacentral:rRNA from 1 species